UGCACCCUCCGCCUUGCCCAUGCCUCUUCCUGAAAAGCCGCCAAAGUCCCCAACUCUUCGCAUUUUGAGCUCCCAACCCUCCUUCUAUGAGGACACAUGGAGGCGUAUGUUUAAUCUCAUAUCGAUUAUUCACUGGAAAGAUCUUGAAUACUUAUACAGGAUCAAGAAUACAAAUAAUAUUUUUUGACUAGCACUUUUGGAUGAGAUUCUAAGUUGUUAUAAAUGACCAAUAUCAGAGUGGACCU
rnacentral:lncRNA from 1 species